rnacentral:lncRNA from 1 species
GACCAAGUGGAGCCGGCCACAGCCCGCCCACCCUUUCAUCUCUGCGGCUCCUUCCUCCUUGGUCCCCCUUUCUACUCUGUCUGUGGGUCCAUCUGGGUGGGCUUGGGGCGGGGAAGGAAGGGGUCUCUGCGGGCAGUUUGCACAAGAGGAAUCUUUGAAAGUGAACCAACUGGUAACAGGUCAUUUGGUCCACUAGGCGCUCCCAGCAAGAGCCCGAACCUCCAGGGGUGCAGAAUACUCUGUCAGACCAGGCAAGAUUGGGUAGGAAAGUUCAAGAGGAGACUCUGUGUGCCCCCACACAACCCCACUGCCCCUCCUCCAGCUCUCCCCUGACCUGAAGUCCCAGACGACUUUUCCCAGAGAGCUAAAAGCAAGAAAGUAACCUUUAGGAUUAAAAAGAAAUGUUCCUUUGUUUGUUUCUUUCUUUUUUUUCUUUUAAG